AGAAAAUUUGAUUUGAAAAAAAGAACUCACUUUUAUGUGUCACAUAUGUUUCCGAAGGAGAUUAGUCAGUGUUAAAAACUUCAUAUAGCAGAAAGGGAUGGGCGCUGCUGCACUGGGAAUAGGUUCAUCACUUCGCCGGUGCUCCGCCACUUCCAUUUCUCGCCGCAGCGCCGGAGACAUGCGUACAACCGUCAUCUUCUCACAACUUUCUAUCCUAAACCGACUAUCUCACCGCCUCAACUCUAGCCUCUCAUUAACAUCCAACACUAUGCCGGCGGCAGAAGAUCCUGACGACGGAUUCCCAUACUCCGACGUUCCCAACCCUAGCCGGAUAAAGUCAGAGAGGAAGCCAUACGUGACGCCAAUGAAGAUUCUGAUUGCGAGGGCGAAAGCAGAGAAAGAAGCUCGAAAGGCACAACCUUGUAGAGUUCUGGAAGAACCUCCUGAAAAUGGAUUGCUUGUACCGGAGCUUGUGGAAGUUGCUCAUCGUGUCUAUCGAGCUCGCGGUCAUCUAUUAUCUGGUUUGAGUCAACUCGUCCGAGUCAUUCCUGUUCUACGCUGCGAGCUUUGUAAUGAAGUUCACAUUGGUUAUGUGGGUCAUGAAAUUCGAACAUGUACUGGACCAAACAGUUGGCUGCGGAGUGCAACUCAUGUUUGGAAAAGGGGAGGUGUUCGAGAUGUGUUUCGUUUCCCAAAAUGUUUUCAUCUCUAUGACCGUGUUGGCAAACCGAGGGUUGGGCAUGACGAGAGAUUUAGUGUUCCUCGUAUCCCUGCCAUAGUUGAACUCUGUAUACAAGCGGGUCUAAACCUUGAAAAAUAUCCCACGAAGAGGAGAACCAAACCUGUAUAUUGUAUCGAAGGAAGAAUAGCUGAUUUUGAAUCCGUUGCGGAAGAGAAUGAAAGCGAAAGAAAAUGUUCUUUUCAAAAUGUUAAUCCUUUAAUUGAUUCAUCCUCUAUGUUGAUAGAACCUGUAGAGAAGAUCCAAAAUCUAGUUGAGAACCGAAUAAGCCAUAUGGAUCAGUUGAAUGAUGAGGAAAGAAACAAAGUAAGGGAUUUAAGUAAACUUACAUUGGCCUCAUGGUUUGAGAUGAUGUCAGGUGCAAAGAAGAUCAUGGAGAAGUAUGUUGUGAAUACUUGUGGAUAUUGUCCUGAGGUUCAGGUUGGUCCUAAGGGGCAUAAGUUGAGAAUGUGCAAGGCUUCAAAGCAUCAGUCUCGGAAUGGUUUACACGCAUGGCAACAAGCAACAUUAGAUGAUAUUGUUGAUCCGAAUUAUGUCUGGCAUGUUGAGGAUCUGAAUGGCCCUGCUCUGAAUAACAAUCUGAAGAGAUAUUAUGGCAAGGCUCCUGCUGUCGUGGAACUCUGUGUGCAUGCUGGGGCUCCCGUUCCUGAUCAAUAUAGGAGCAUGAUGAGAUUAGACGUGGUUUCCCCAGAACGAGAUGAAGUUGACCUUGUUGCCUGAAACACCUUCUUCCCUUUUGAAGGUGGGACAUAUACAUUCAGUGGACAUUUAGAGUUCUUAUGGAUAAAAUCAUCAACUUUUGAGUUUGAUAAAAUCUGAACAUUAGUGUCCUGUCCUGUGCUUGGCUGUAAUUCAUCAUUCACAUAUUCUGAAUAUAUUUACCAGCUUAUUUUAUCUUCAGAAAGGACACGCAGAUUGAAGAAUUAUUACAAGCCUUUCAUUUUUCGUGUUUCCAUAUUGAUUUGCAUUUAGCUCAAACUGCACAGUUUCUUGUGAAAACAAUGCUUACACCGGAAUUGAUACUAUGAAAGACCACACAGUCUGAACUGCAAUGCAUAAUGAUAAAGGGUCUUGCACUAUGCUGUGGGUGCAAAAGUAUGUCAAGCACGCUAUUGGUAGAUUCUUCUCACAAAACAUAGCUUACUAAUACAUCCUCAACUAAUUGAAUGAAUGUUGAAGCUAAUUUAGCUCGAAAUUUCUCCUAACUACUAUAUUCGAUGAAUUUAAAGAUGAAUGAUGGAAAGAAAGUUCAACAAGGGCUCCGACCACCUGCGUGGUAGGUAAUUGAUGCGGCAAAAGGCAAACCAUGAUAUAUUAUCAAGAUUGAUAUGAUUGGGAGAAAACAAUGCAAUUGACAAAAAGUCAUUGAGCUUAUUUUGAGCGUUGUAAUUGCUGGUUGGGACACAACUGCAACAACUCUAUCACAAGUUAUUUAUUUAUAUGGUAGCUACACAUGCUCAUGUUGCGACAAACUUUACUUAAAGCUUAAAACUUUUGAUGGGAAUCAAGCAAAGGAAGAGACUAUGACCUGCUUCAAUGUGACUAAGGACCCUUGCAUGCAGUCAUAACGGAGACCCGUUUACCUAAGAUGGUAAAAUUUAUCCAGCCAUUUCUAAGAGACCAGUUGAACACAGGAAGGCUGAACUUGGAGUGUUGCAGAAUAGCUUGCUGGCCAGGUAGUGGAUAUUAUGACUUUACCAUUGAAAGCUGACAAGUUUAAACAAUUAAGAAACAAGGUGGCGAUUGUCCACUGAACCAGAAUGUGCGUUUUGAGAGAAAUAGUUAGCUCAAGUGUUAUGUUAGUGUUACUUAGAAUUGACUAGUUGUGUUUUUUAACCGCUUAAUGAUAAGCCCGAUCAGUGUGAGACUUAUUCAUAGUAUGUAUGAAUAAUUUUAUUGAGUAAUACAAGUGUGUACAUUUUUCAGUGUGAAUACUUUUCCACCCUCUUUAAGUUUCCCUCUUUUCUCUGUUCAAGUGUUCUGUGAGGUUUGGUACCUAGAAUUAGAUUCUUUACAGUGAACCUGUGUUUCUUGCAGCCAAUGUGGCCUCUUUUAAUGUCCAUUUUCCAGAAAAUCUCCCCAUUCUUGAUGGCCAAACAUAAGAGAAGUCUUUCCAUCCUCUCCAAGUUUCCUUUUUUUCUCUGUUCAAGUGGUCUGUGAGUUAAAGUUUGUGUGUGAGGUUUGGAUCCAACGAAUAAUACCACUGAACUGAAAAAUUACAACAAUCUGAACAUAAUUGAGUAUCAGAUUACAGGUACAAACUACAAAGUGUAACAAGUAUGCAGUGGAUUGGACUUUUCUUCAUGAGCCACUGCACUUACAUAUCUGUUUUCUGUUUUAACUUUCCCGCUUUUCUCCAACUGUAUAAAUGACGACCUCAGCAUCUUUUCCUCUUCGAGUCAAUGAGAAAUAAUUCAUUUUCCGUUCAAUUCCGUUGAUGUUUACUCAUUAUCUCUCUAAUUUUGUCUGUUGAAAAUUUGUGUCAAAUAUGGCUAAUCAGAAAUCUGUUGAAGUUUAAGUGUUACAAACAGACCAGAAACUAAUAGAGAACAUUGACAAACAUCAAAGAGAGUAAAGACGGCGCACAUAUAUCAGAACUCAGAAGUACAUUAAGCAGAAAUAAUAAUGACAAGACUGUGUGCAUCUAGUUUGCUUCUUCAUGAAAGCGAUAACCAGAAAUAGAGUUCGACUCAAUUCAACCACAGAAAGACUAACUCACUAGAACACUAGUUAUGUAUUUUUUAAAAGAUAAUUGAUCCUUCUAGAUGUCUUAAGAGUCCCACCAAAAAGUAUCAUAAAAAUCUCCCAUGCUGCCAUGCAACAGAUGCUUCAGACAGCCAGGUAAAAGGCACGCGAUCCCUCUCUGUAAACCUGCUUAGGAAUUAAAAAGUAUGCAAUUUAGUGAUUACGCUUGUUUAUAAUGAAGACUAUCAUAGUUUAUUGUGAACAAGUGCUGAUAGAAAUUAAUUUUUGAUAACUUGAGUAGGGUUAUUAAAAAGUUCGAAAUGGAAUGUGUUUUCAUAGUUUGACGUUAUUUCGUAUGUCUAAAUUGCCAUUGUAGAUUCUAUGCAAGGAAGAGAUAAUGUUGCCUGCAUGUUAACUGUUAAGUGCUCAUAGUCUUACGAGGAUACGGCUUGCUGCAACAGAGAGAUAAUUCCACCUACAUACAAGUAAGUGCUAAUGGUCUUAUGAGGCUACUUUAUGCAAACAACAAAUGUGAAGAUUAUCAUAAGAAGCUAAUGGGUUGAAAAACUUGAGACCCAUCAUUCCCUACCUAUCUCCUAGAAAUGAGAAUUUCAUUUCGUUUCAACCGGGUUUUGAUGACUACUUACGCGGUACUGAGAACACAUUUGAAUGCAGUCUCUCCCCUGAUUGUUAUUACAGUACAUCAUCCAAAACACUUAAUAGGCCAUAUUAUCAUUAUAACUAUUUAGUUUGAUUUUGAAAGAGAGUAGGUAACUUGCAAUAAAUUAUCAUAGUCAUGUCAUUAACAUAAAGAAUUGCAAAUUUAGAUUUGAAAGCUUAGUUGUGAUCAAAUUCAAAACGUUUUUGUUUUUACCACCAGUUUAAUCUAGUUCGGGGCAAAUUCAAGACUUUGAUAGCCAGGUUGCACAAUGUAGCAUUAUAGAGUUUGUUAUGGUAAGGGCAUCUGAAUUAAUAAAAAUAUCUUGUACCACAGUGUUUGACUUUCUGUAUUCUUCUGCUAUAAGAUAGUGUCUGUUUGACAAAUGAAGCUCGUGAGAGGACAAAUGCGAA